AGGGCCUGGCCUCUGUAGGCACUUCACUUGCUCUCCGUGCAGUAAAGUGGAGCUAUUAUUAUCUCAGAAGGAACGAGGGUCAUCAGAGUUAGCUGCCGAGUUGCUGACUGGGGCCUCCUUGACUCUGCUGUGAUGUUGGCCUGGGAGACCUGGGCGCAUGGACGAGAACUGCAUGGCCCGGCCUGCGGAGGAGCUGAAGGCAGGGCACAAGGGGCUUCCAUGGGUGCCUUGGCUGGGCCGUGGAGCCAGUGGUUGCCCGUUUUCCUCCUUGUGCCUCUUAGGAACCUGAGCAGAAACAGAGGAAGGCCCCUGGGAAGCAACCAUGGCAGCAGUGACUCUGGCUGGGCCCUGAGGACCAUCUCCACGAGUGCUUAGGAGAUCCCUCUUCUUUUGAAGA
rnacentral:lncRNA from 1 species